GAAUUCGCCCUUAGAGUUUGAUCCUGGCUCAGGAUGAACGCUAGCGGCAGGCCUAAUACAUGCAAGUCGUGGGGUAACCCUGCAGCAAUGUAGGGCUAGACCGGCAAACGGGUGAGUAACACGUACGCAACCUGCCUCUAACUGGAGGAUAGCCCCUCGAAAGAGGGAUUAAUACUCCAUGAUGUUACGGAAGGGCAUCCUUCUGUAACCAAAGCUCCGGCGGUUAGAGAGGGGCGUGCGUCCCAUUAGGUAGUUGGUAGGGUAACGGCCUACCAAGCCGACGAUGGGUAGCUGGCGUGAGAGCGCGACCAGCCACACGGGCACUGAGACACGGGCCCGACUCCUACGGGAGGCAGCAGUAAGGAAUAUUGGUCAAUGGGCGCAAGCCUGAACCAGCCAUGCCGCGUGCAGGAUGAAGGCCCUCAGGGUUGUAAACUGCUCUUCUCAGGGAAGAAACCCUCGUUUUCUAACGAGGCUGACGGUACCCGAGGAAUAAGCACCGGCUAACUCCGUGCCAGCAGCCGCGGUAAUACGGAGGGUGCGAGCGUUAUCCGGAUUCACUGGGUUUAAAGGGUGUGUAGGCGGGCAGGUAAGUCAGCGGUGAAAGCCCCGAGCUUAACUUGGGAAUUGCCGUUGAUACUAUCUUUCUUGAAUGUUGUGGAGGCGAGCGGAAUAUGGCAUGUAGCGGUGAAAUGCUUAGAUAUGCCAUAGAACACCGAUUGCGAAGGCAGCUCGCUACGCAACCAUUGACGCUGAGGCACGAAAGCGUGGGGAGCAAACAGGAUUAGAUACCCUGGUAGUCCACGCCCUAAACGAUGAUCACUCGACAUUGGCGAUAUACUGUCAGUGUCUAAGCGAAAGCAUUAAGUGAUCCACCUGGGGAGUACGACCGCAAGGUUGAAACUCAAAGGAAUUGACGGAAGGGCGAAUUC
rnacentral:rRNA from 1 species